CGUUGAAACACGGGUUCCCGUAUGAUCUAUGAAGUUAAGCAACAUCAAGCCUGGUCAGUAACUAGAUAGGUGACCGGCUGGGAAUAUCAGGUGGU